UACGGGGGGGGCAAGCGUUGUUCGGAAUUACUGGGCGUAAAGGGCUCGUAGGCGGCCAACUAAGUCGGAUGUGAAAUCCCCAGGCUUAACCUGGGAACUGCAUCCGAUACUGGAUGGCUUGAAUCCGGGAGAGGGAUGCAGAAUUCCAGGUGUAGCGGUGAAAUGCGUAGAUAUCUGGAGGAAUACCGGUGGCGAAGGCGGCAUCCUGGACCGGCAUUGACGCUGAACGGCGAAAGCUAGGGGAGCAAACAGG
rnacentral:rRNA from 1 species